rnacentral:lncRNA from 1 species
AAAUCAUUAUAUUUUCGAGUUAUUAAUAUACAUAUCUAUGAGUCGAAUUUAUGAACAUGUUUAGUCGCGCCCCUAGUUAGAUAAAUAAUUUUAAAUUUUCGACUAUUAUUCUUGCAAAUAAAAACUCUUAUACACAAAGAUUGGGCCAUAAAAAUAUAUUAGCAAUAAUCUCUAUAAUGGGCCUUAUGUAUUUAUUUAUGUUUCAUUGGGCUUGGUUUGAAUUAAAGCCCGUAAAAAUCUUUUGUUCCUCAGCCACGAUUUCAUUUUUGUUCCUCAGCCACAUGUUUUUUUUAAAUCCUUGAAGAGCACGCAUCAUUUUUUACUUAAUAGUCUUAUGCAUCAUGAAAUUCAUUCCAUUUAAAGUUUAUCUACUCGACUCCACCGCCUCAUUUCAGUUUAUUAAACUCUUUCAUUUUCUGAAAAACACCACCAAAACCCAGCAAUCAACUUCUUGUUUCUGCUGCUUUCGAUUCAAGUGGUAAUUUUAAUUCUUGUACAGAGCUUAUGUAAUUUUAUUUCAGCAUCUCAAUCGUUUAUCCAAUUUCUGUCCAAAAACCAAAACUUUACAACAUAAUUCUGUUUUCAAAUCAAAACAUGCAUACAUCCAUUUUCUGUAAUUUCCAUAAGGAAAUCAAAUAGAAUAGAGAUAUUAAUAAUUACACAGAAAGGGAAAAAUAGGAGAAGAAACUGGAAAUGGGAGUUUGUGGCAUAGAACAGGCAGGAGGCGGCGGCGGCGGCCUGCCAACUGCUGCUGCCUGGCAUGGCGGCGGCGGCGGCAGCCGUUUUUGACGGCCGAAGGAAUGAGAGGGCGCCAGAUCUGGAAUAAGGAGGCGGCAGCUUCGGCCUCGCCGAUGGCUGUUCGGCUGAGGAAGAGAGAGAAAGAAGGGGAGGCGACGUCGGGCUGGAGGUGACGGUUGGCUGCUCAUCAGAGCAGGGGGGGCGGCGUCGGCUUCGCCGAGGGCCUUCUGGUCGAGAGAGAAAGAGAGAGGCUGGAGACGAGAGUUGAGGGAGAGAGGUCAACGGGGAGCGAGAGAUGAGGGAAGAGGAAGAGAGGUUGAGGAGAUGUGAAGGGGAGGUAGAGCCGCCGGCCUCCGGCGGCGGCGUGCCGUCCGGGGCGGCGACAGGAGGCCGAGAAGAGGAGAGGGAGCAGGGCCGAGAGAGGGAGAUGAGGGGGGGCUGCGUGAGUUGUGUGUGUGUGUGAUGGGAGUGUGAUUAAAUUGGGAAAAAGGGAAGUAUUGGGCUUGGGCUUGGGCUGGUUUUAAUGGGCUCAGAUAUAUCUAAAUUGAUUGGACUCUAGUUUGAUUAAAUAUUGGAUUAAUUUAUAUUAUCAAAUGGACUUGCAUUUGCAUAUUAUUUUAUAAAGGGCAUCAUUCAUAUUAUUUUUGGACUUGAAUUAUUAAUUCAAAUUUAGUUUUAAUUAAAUAUUGAGGUCAAAUCUUUUUAUAAAAGUACUUUUAUAAUUUAUUAGACCAAUGAUUUUGAAGGGUUUUAUGAUUUAAACUAGUACUAUUAUUAUUAUUAUUUUUAAAGUUCAAUUAGGCCCUUAUGUUUAUUAUUUGAAUUUAUCUGACUAGGUGCGGCGCGACUAGGACAUGGAUUUUAAUUUGAAUUAUCAGAAUUAACUUUCAAGUUCAAGUUCAAGUUCAAGUUCAAAAUUCAGGUGUGGGAUUUAUUUCAGUACAUGCUGUGGUUAAUCUUGUUCAUUUUAAUAUCAUGUGUUUACCAUAUGUGAGUUGCAUUAAAUUAUAUCGCUAGGGGCCCGCUCAAUGGGUCCAGGACAUUAAAGUCCUUGGUAUGCCACAAUGCGAUUUCAUGUUAAAGUUAUGGUUGCAACCAGUCGCCAGGGGCCGGCUCAAUCGGUCCAGGACGGAAAGGUCCUUGGUAUGCCACAGUGCGACUUUCAGUUACGAAUGUAUUGAUCAUAUGUGAUUCUCAUUUUAUUAACGUGGACAAUGAUUGCAUGUUCCCACACUGAGUGUACCCUGUAUGCUCAUCCCAUAUUUAACAUUUUCAGGUUUUAAAGACCGGAGGCGCGUGGAAGGUCGAAUGGCGAGUCAAAUAUUUUGAAUUUAGUUUUACUUAAAAAUGUUAUUUUGAGUAAAGUAUGUUUAAAGAAAAAUGUAUUUCCUAAUUUUCUCAUUAAAUAUUUAUUUAUGGUCAUGAUUUUCCGCGUGCGUUUUCAUUUAUAAUUAAAAUGGAUUUUGGUGUCACAAG